ACAAGAACCGGUCUACACGACCUGAACCGGAGUAGAACCGGAAAAACCGGACUUGUACCGAACCGGAACCGGCUUGACCGGUACAGACACCGGUUCUGAAAUUUGAGAACCGGACUAGACCGGUACAGACACCGGUUCUUGGGGAGAACCGUACUUGAACCGGACCAUUUGUACCGGCUGUUAUUAGCCGUUGAGAUCUAUCUAGGUUUUUAAUCCUAGCCGUUGAGAUCUAUAUAGGAUGUCGAGAACAAAAGAAAAUGAAGAAGCAUUCUUCAGUUCUUUCUUCUUCGUCUCUUCUUCUCACUCAGCGGCAGCAUCAGUUUCUCGAUUCUCUUAGGGUUUGAAUCGAGAUUGAAUAUCAGUAAUAUCAGUGGAUCACCAUCUCUAUCAGGAUUCAGAUAUUGAGAAGAUUAGUCCAAAGGCCAAAGCAGAGAAGAAGGAAGAAUUAGAUUUUUGGGGUUCUCAAGUACUGCACAAUGGCUUGUGGCUGAACCGCUGAACGCUUAAGGAUCGUGAUUUGUUUCAGGGCAGCAGGUGUUACAAAAUACCCAUUAAAGACUUAAAGUACUUCAGAGCUGAACCGCUGAACGCUUAAGGAUCGUGAUUUGUUUCAGGGCAGCAGGUGUUACAAAAUACCCAUUAAAGACUUAAAGUACUUCAGAAUGACCACAUCAACUGCAACUCCAACUACAAAUGAAACUGCAACUCCAACUACAAGUACAAC